rnacentral:lncRNA from 1 species
ACUAUUUUUAAUAGUUCUCACGCCCCUGUUUCAUGGUUUACUUUUCAGAGCCUUCGGCACCGGCGGAGGCACGGGAUCGCGGCAAGGGGAUCGCUUAGCUAGCUAGCGCGGAGCGGUUCUUUGCCUAGGUGGUUUGCUCUUUCUUUUUGUAGUUGGGAGAGUGAGAAAUUUUGUAUCCAUGUGUAGAGACCACCUAUGUACCUACUUUUAGCACUUGUAUUUGGGAUUUCCUACUGUAUUUACUUUAUGUCUUAUUUAGUGAACUCACUGUUUUAUCUUUAUCCCUUGUUGUAGCAUUUAGACACCUACUAUGCUCUGAUACUUCUAGAUGUCUUUUGUUAUUGCUUUUAUUAUUGUUGUUAGUAGACGCCUUAUAUGUUUUAGACGUAUGGCGGGUCUGUGCACGUGCCGGGCGGGCUUCCGCUGGGUCCCGGGGCGUGACAGAUUAAUUUGGUAUCAGAGCCUAGGGUUGAGUCUUAGGGGACCUAGUAAACCUUAGGCCGGUUGGACUAUAGGAAAUAGGCUCGUGAGAGACGAGGUCUAUUCGACUUGUGAGCGAAAGUAUCAUGAUUGGGUAUUAUGAUAACUCUAGAAAGUUAGAGUUGAUUGGAGUGUUUGGCUUCUAACUUCGC